rnacentral:rRNA from 1 species
GAGUUUGAUCCUGGCUCAGGACGAACGCUGGCGGCGUGCUUAACACAUGCAAGUCGAACGAUGAACCGCUUUCGGGCGGGGAUUAGUGGCGAACGGGUGAGUAACACGUGGGCAAUCUGCCCUGCACUCUGGGACAAGCCCUGGAAACGGGGUCUAAUACCGGAUAUGACCGUCUGCCGCAUGGUGGAUGGUGUAAAGCUCCGGCGGUGCAGGAUGAGCCCGCGGCCUAUCAGCUUGUUGGUGAGGUAGUGGCUCACCAAGGCGACGACGGGUAGCCGGCCUGAGAGGGCGACCGGCCACACUGGGACUGAGACACGGCCCAGACUCCUACGGGAGGCAGCAGUGGGGAAUAUUGCACAAUGGGCGAAAGCCUGAUGCAGCGACGCCGCGUGAGGGAUGACGGCCUUCGGGUUGUAAACCUCUUCAGCAGGGAAGAAGCGAAA